rnacentral:rRNA from 1 species
UAGGGAAUAUUGCACAAUGGAGGAAACUCUGAUGCAGCGACGCCGCGUGAGUGACGAAGGCCUUCGGGUUGUAAAGCUCUGUUCUCAGGGAAAAAGAAAGUGAUUGUACCUGAGAAGAAAGGACCGGCUAACUUCGUGCCAGCAGCCGCGGUAAGACGAGGGGUCCAAGCGUUGUUCGGAAUUAUUGGGCGUAAAGCGGGUGUAGGUGGCUCUAUAAGUCAGGAGUGAAAUCCCCGAGCUUAACUUGGGAAGUGCUUUUGAUACUGCAGAGCUUGAAUGUGGGAGAGGAUAAUAGAAUUCCAGGUGUAGUGGUGAAAUACGUAGAUAUCUGGAGGAAUACCGGUGGCGAAGGCGGUUAUCUGGCCCAACAUUGACACUGAGACCCGAAAGCGUGGGGAUCGAAACAGGAUUAGAUACCCACGUAGUCCCUGAG